GACGAACGCUGGCGGCGUGCUUAACACAUGCAAGUCGAACGGAAAGGCCCUGCUUUUGUGGGGUGCUCGAGUGGCGAACGGGUGAGUAACACGUGAGUAACCUGCCCUUGACUUGGGGAUAACUUCAGGAAACUGGGGCUAAUACCGGAUAGGAGCUCCUGCUGCAGGGUGGGGGUUGGAAAGUUUCGGCGGUUGGGGAUGGACUCGCGGCUUAUCAGCUUGUUGGUGGGGUAGUGGCUUACCAAGGCUUUGACGGGUAGCCGGCCUGAGAGGGUGACCGGCCACAUUGGGACUGAGAUACGGCCAAGACUCCUACGGGAGGCAGAAGUGGGGAAUAUUGCACAAUGGGCGGAAGCCUGAUGCAGCAACGCCGCGUGCGGGAUGACGGCCUUCGGGUUGUAAACCGCUUUCGCCUGUGACGAAGCGUGAGUGACGGUAAUGGGUAAAGAAGCACCGGCUAACUACGUG
rnacentral:rRNA from 1 species